AGUCUCUGGGAGCAUUCCGAGCUCAGAAGUUCCCAGACAUAUUUUUAAUAAGGCACGGAAAUCUGGCCAAUUUCUGUGCCUGCAAUUUUGGUAAACAAUUUCAAGGAUGGGGUUGCAUAAUGAAGGUAUAAUUCCAAGAGGAGGUCUGUAUUUGUCCUUGUAUAAACCCUAAUGUAUAAAAGCAGCCAAAAAAAAGCUGUUAGUGAGAAGAAGGAAGCGCUGCAACUGUCUUACAUUAACCCGUGCUGCUUUUCGCUGGUGUUGGUGUGAGAUGAGGGAACUACUGUCUUACAUUAACCCGUGCUGCUGUUUGCCGGUGUUAGUGUGAAGAAAGGAAGCGCUCGACUGUCUUGCGAUAACCCGUGCUGCUGUUUGCCGGUGUUGAUGUGCAGAAGGGGCUCUUCUGGAUGCUCACACUUCUUUGGACUCCGUUGAGAAAAUACAUAAUAAAAAGGCGGAUGAGCUAACCAAAAUUCAUGCUAAUGCACAUCCCGCGAGUACAGAAGAAGAUCAUUUGAAAUGUGCACAAUGGAUACACGAACAUGCGGGUCCAUGUACAGGUAUACUGCUCAUAGCAUUCCUGGGAUUCUUCACAGCCAUUGCAUAUACCCCUGGAAGUGUUCUACAAGAAUUUAACACUACCAAAGCAGACUCCAUACUUCUGAGAUGGGGAUGGAUGAACUCCACAUUUAAUCGGACUCAAGAUAAUUACACAUGCUAUGCUCAUAAACAAUGUCUCAUGAUUAAUUUCACUAUAGAAGAAACUAAUCUCACAACAUGGAAAGGACAAUUUCCCAUCAGACGUGUCUUACACAGUGAUGGACCGGUAAUUAUUAACAUUACUACUAAAGUUAACAUAACCUGUUGUAUAAGAGAUUUAACUAAUUUAAUGUCAAGUUCUCAAUAUAGAAAACAACUAAGAUCCUUUUUAACAGUAUGUAAUUCAACAAACUCUAGCUUUAUAAUCAAUUCUACUAUUCAUAUAUUAUGUCAUAACAAUAGUGAGAUAACCGGACGUACUGACUGGGCAGAUUAUAUGCAUGUAAUUAUUGGCAAGACUUUUAACAUUACACACCCUACAUUGAUACACAUUCCACAUACCUGUAUUAACACCACAUUAUUAGCUCACCUAUUUUUUAACAUUAGCUUUCCUUUGUUAACUCCAUGCACCGUAGGAGACGCGCUUGGUAUGAUACUCUCUUAGGAGGAGUAGGAACUGGAAUCGGGCUUGCUAAUAGCUUUGAUUAGAUACUUUAGCUUACAAAUUAAAAAAUACCAGGCGGGAUGCCGCCCUAACACCUUAUAUCGAUUUUUACCGUUAUUUGGAUUAUUACUUAUUGGAAUGUGUUUAAGUCUUUGUAGUUGCUGUUGCAAUUUGUAUCUAUACAGACAAGUGCAAACAACCUAUCUGUCCAUGCAAAAAUGCUCAUUUUGCUUAUACUCGUUCUGGCCAUAUCUAAGGGCCGAAUGUAGGGCCAUUUAAGGACAUGAGCUAUGACCAGAACUCCACUUGAAAAAAAUAGUCUAUCUUCAUUUCCUUAAACAGUCUCUGGGAGCAUUCCGAGCUCAGAAGUUCCCAGACAUAUUUUUAAUAAGGCACGGAAAUCUGGCCAAUUUCUGUGCCUGCAAUUUUGGUAAACAAUUUCAAGGAUGGGGUUGCAUAAUGAAGGUAUAAUUCCAAGAGGAGGUCUGUAUUUGUCCUUGUAUAAACCCUAAUGUAUAAAAGCAGCCCAAAAAAAAAGCUGUUAGUGAGAAGAAGGAAGCGCUGCAACUGUCUUACAUUAACCCGUGCUGCUAUUUGCCGGUGUUGGUGUGAGAAGAGGGAACUACUGUCUUACAUUAACCCGUGUUGCUGUUUGCCGGUGUUAGUGUGAAGAAAGGAAGCGCUGCGACUGUCUUGCGAUAACCCGUGCUGCUGUUUGCCGGUGUUGAUGUGCAGAAGGGGAUCUUCUGGGUAUGGUACCUUGUAAAUAACUUUCUCAUUUCCAUUUUUAUCCUGUACCUCCAUUCUGUAAAUAAAUUCUUUCAUUUUUAUCUCUAUCCUGGCUGGUGUUUUUCC